rnacentral:rRNA from 1 species
UACAGAGGUCCCAAGCGUUGUUCGGAUUCACUGGGCGUAAAGGGCGCGUAGGCGGUUUGGUAAGUCUGUCGUGAAAUCUCCGAGCCCAACUCGGAAACUGCGUCGGAUACUGUUCAACUCGAGGAAUGGAGGGGAGACUGGAAUUCUCGGUGUAGCAGUGAAAUGCGUAGAGAUCGAGAGGAACACCAGUGGCGAAGGCGAGUCUCUGGACAGUACCUGACGCUGAGGCACGAAAGCCAGGGGAGCAAACAGG